UUGGGGUUAGCCGUUCAUGUGG
rnacentral:misc_RNA from 1 species